rnacentral:rRNA from 1 species
AACGAACGCUGGCGGCGUGCCUAACACAUGCAAGUCGAACGGAAACGCCCUGUCUUUGUGGGGUGCGCGAGUGGCGAACGGGUGAGUAACACGUGAGUACCUUGCCUUUGGCUUUGGGAUAACCUAAGGAAACUGGGUCUAAUACGGGAUAGGAGUUCCUGCCGCAUGGUGGGGGCUGGAAAGAUUCGGCGGUUGGGGAUGGACUCGCGCCUUAUCAGCUUGUUGGUGGGGUAGUGGUUUACCAAGGCUUUGACGGGUAGCCGGCCCGAGCGGGUGGCCUGCCACAUCGGUCCGGAGAUGCGGCCCAGACGCGAACGUUAGGCAACGGUGGGGAGCAUUACACAGUAGGCUGGAGCCUGUUCUGGUAACGUAGCGUGGGGUGAGUCUGCAUGCGGGUUGUGUACCGCUUCCGCUUGUGACGGGGUGUGAAUGACGGUAACGGGAGAAGAAGCCCCGGCUAACUACGUG